UAAAUAAAAGAGCAAAUUGCCCCCCCUAUCAAAAAAAAGCAGAAACUGGCAGCAGUUGGAAACAACACAAACUGCGGAAGACAUAGGGGGAUUUCUCUGGCUGCUUAAAAAAAAGCCAAGAGGAUACCCACCAUGAGAUGGUCACAAACAGUGGUUUCACUGAGUUUUUCACAUUUUAUUUCAUUUUUUUUCUUCAUUCAUUGUUUUGUUAUUUUAAAAUUGGUUGGCUUUCCAGAAAAGGCAAGCAUAAGAAUUUCAAUACACAAGGGGGGUAUAUUUGACAAUAAAAUCUUUGAAUUUGAAAAAGAGCCAAGAGGAUAUCCACAACGAGAUGGUCACAAGCAGUGGGUUCACUGUAUUGUGCCUGAUCUCUAAGAUCCAAAAAACAGAGGAUACCAUCCCCAAAGAACAUUAGAUCCUUAUCACCAGGAUCCCAGAAUUAGAGGACAACAAAACAGUCCUUGAAAACAUCUGCCUAUACUUAAAAAAAAAAAAAAAAGACCGGCAGACGGAGAUGGACGAAAUGAGGCACAAGCUCCAGGACAAGGAGACAAAGACAUAGGAGAGAGAAGAGAAGAAAAAGGAGACUAUCCAGGACGUCAACAUCAACGUGCCUGAGACUAGACACCUGUAAGAACACCUUCCUUCACCUCCCACUCCAUCCUACCUCAUCCAUCUACCCUGAAAAAAAUAUUCUGAAAAGAAAAAAAAAAAAGGACCGGCAGACGGAGAUGGACGAAAUGAGGCACAAGCUCCAGGACAAGGAGACAAAGACAUAGGAGAGAGAAGAGAAGAAAAAGGAGACUAUCCAGGACGUCAACAUCAACGUGCCUGAGACUAGACAUCUGUAAGAACACCUUCCUUCACCUCCCACUCCAUCCUACCUCAUCCAUCUACCCUGAAAAAAAAAAUUCUGAAAAAAAAAAAAAAAAAAAAGACCGGCAGACGGAGAUGGACGAAAUGAGGCACGAGCUCCAGGACAAGGAGACAAAGACAUAGGAGAGAGAAGAGAAGAAAAAGGAGACUAUCCAGGACGUCAACAUCAACGUGCCUGAGACUAGACACCUGUAAGAACACCUUCCUUCACCUCCCACUCCAUCCUUCCUCAUCCAUCUAGCCUGAAAAAAAAAUUCUGAAAAAAAAAAGAUCUAAAAAACAAAACAAAAAAAACAGGGAUACUCUGGCUGCUUUAAAACCUAACUCGCUUGUCAGGAUUUCACUUGUACUGUACUGUUGAUUUAUAUUACAGAUUUCAUUUAUUUUUUUUACAACCUUCUCAGUUUCCCUUAAGUCAUUUCUGCCUUAUUUUUAUUUCAUGUACAUUUAUUUAAAUGUGUUUUUUUUUUUUUUUUUUUAAUUGGUCGGCUUUAAUUAACUGUACUGUUAAUUUAUAUUGCACACAUUUCAUUUCAUCUUUUCAUUUUUACAAUCUGCUCAGUUUUGCACAUUUCCCCUUACCUCAUUUCUGCCUUAUUUUUAUUUCAUGUACAUUUAAGUAAAUAUUGUGCCUGAGACUGGACACGUGGAAGAACACCUUCCUUCACCUCCCACUCCAUCCUACCUUAUGCAUCUCAAAUAACAAAUAAAGGAAAUGUUUACCCCAAUCUGCUGUCUACUGGUUAUCACUAGAUUGUACUUACAGACCAACUUAUUUUACACUGUAGUGAAAUUUUACAUUUCACUACAGUGAUUCACUUAUUGAUGACACAUGUAGACAUUAGUAAUUGAAAUAUAUUUAUUAACUUGGACAGUAAAUGUUGAACACAGAUACAUCAACCGAUUUGUAUAGUCCUAUACAAACAAACAUGUUACAGAAAUAAAGACAUUUAAAUAAUUAAACUAAUGAAUAUUAAAACCAAAUAUAAAUAAUAAAAUGAUAAUAUUUCAAUGUACAAAGUCACAAAUGCAAGAAACCAAUAUAUAAACUAAUUACAACAUGAAUAUUACAAAUAAUUGCACUUAAAAUGCCAGAUGGAACUUUUCUGUGUGGCAUCCAGUUCUAGCUGAAAGAACUUUUGUCUUUCGUGCGGCCCUUCUUUUGCCCCGGUUGUUGUUGUUGUUCCUGUUUAUGUUGCUGCUGCUUUUCCAUGAUGUUGGGUACAAUCUUCUCAACAGAAGCUUGUGUCAGCAUCUGAACAGGUGGAGGUGGGUGAACAAUUACAACAGACAUCGUAACAACCUGCACACUAGUAGUCUCACUCGCCUCUGUCAGAGAGUGACAGAGUUUCUGCCUCUCUUGCAGUUUUUCUGGACUGACGUUUAAAGAGGAACUGGUGUUCAACAAUUUGCUGAGGUGCUUUACAUAUUGUAGAACAUGUAGUUUUGUUGUCGGGUGGAGCAUGCUGUUGGGGUCUGUGCAGGAGUUGUGAACUAGAGCAGCGUAGUCCUGGUCCACAAGCUUCAGCAUGUCCUUCUGCUCACGGUGUUUGUUGAGCAGCAGGUCGAUAACUGCCAGCGACGGCGGACGUACACAGCAAAAUGUCCAGUGUUGAAUUAACUCCCACAGAGUUGAUUUCAACACUUUUUGAGAGUUUAUAUAGCUCCACACUCUCCAGAGUUAAAUUAACACUUUCAAAAUAGUUAAACAUUUAACACUCUACCAGAGUUCCUUUAUUAACUCACAAAACAGUGUUAAAGUAACACUGAGGGAUUAGACAACUAACACUGCUCCGAGUUAAUUUUUUUAACUAUUUUGGUAGUGUUAAUUACACUCCCUAAUGUGUCAAUUAUCUACACU
ensembl:lncRNA